rnacentral:rRNA from 1 species
AUACGGAGGAUGCGAGCGUUAUCCGGAUUUAUUGGGUUUAAAGGGAGCGUAGGUGGGAUAUUAAGUCAGCUGUGAAAGUUUGGGGCUCAACCUUAAAAUUGCAGUUGAUACUGGUUUCCUUGAGUACGGUACAGGUGGGCGGAAUUCGUGGUGUAGCGGUGAAAUGCUUAGAUAUCACGAAGAACUCCGAUCGCGAAGGCAGCUCACCGGGCCGGAACUGACACUGAUGCUCGAAAGUGCGGGUAUCAAACAGGAUUAGAUACCCUGGUAGUCCGCACAGUAAACGAUGAAUACUCGCUGUUUGCGAUACACGGUAAGCGGCCAAGCGAAAGCGUUAAGUAUUCCACCUGGGGAGUGCGCCGGCAACGGUGAAACUCAAAUGAAUUGACGGGG